AGCAGUAGCCGCGGUAAUACGAAGGGGGCUAGCGUUGUUCGGAAUUACUGGGCGUAAAGCGCACGUAGGCGGAUAUUUAAGUCAGGGGUGGAAUCCCAGAGCUCAACUCCGGAACUGCCUUUGAUACUGGGUAUCUUGAGUAUGGAAGAGGUGAGUGGAAUUCCGAGUGUAGAGGUGAAAUUCGUAGAUAUUCGGAGGAACACCAGUGGCGAAGGCGGCUCACUGGUCCAUUACUGACGCUGAGGUGCGAAAGCGUGGGGAGCAAAUAGGAUUAGAUACCCCAGUAGUCCCUGUCUCUUAUAC
rnacentral:rRNA from 1 species